rnacentral:tRNA from 1 species
GGCUUCCUGGCUCAGCUGGUAGAGCGCUUGCCGCGUUAAGGCAUGCCGUGUUUGUCGCUGGUUCGAAUCCAGUCGAAGCCU